rnacentral:rRNA from 1 species
AACGAACGCUGGCGGCAGGCCUAACACAUGCAAGUCGAGCGAGGACUUCGGUCCUAGCGGCGGACGGGUGAGUAACGCGUGGGAACGUGCCCUUUGCUUCGGAAUAGCCCUGGGAAACUGGGAGUAAUACCGGAUGAGCCCUUUGGGGGAAAGAUUUAUCGGCUAAGGAUGGGCCCGCGUUGGAUUAGGUAGUUGGUGGGGUAAUGGCCUACCAAGCCGACGAUCCAUAGCUGGUUUGAGAGGAUGAUCAGCCACACUGGGACUGAGACACGGCCCAGACUCCUACGGGAGGCAGCAGUGGGGAAUCUUAGACAAUGGGGGAAACCCUGAUCUAGCCAUGCCGCGUGAGCGAUGAAGGCCUUAGGGUUGUAAAGCUCUUUCAGCUGGGAAGAUAAUGACGGUACCAGCAGAAGAAGCCCCGGCUAACUCCGUG